GAAGGGACGGAAGCUAACUUGGUCAUUCAUUAGAGGGUUUUUAUGGGGUUACUCCUCCGUGUGUGUAAACGGUUCCAUUUCUCUUCAAGAUGCGGACGACUCGAGAGAGAAUAUGCCUCUCGGAUGCCGACGACUCGAAUGUGCUGCUCUGAAAUGCAGGACAGAUGCCAGGGAAGUCCAGAAGACUUACACGUCUGCAUUACUUGUGACACGACUUCCUGACUUCAAGGCAUCUGAACAGAUUCUCCACUUGGAGUUCCAUUCUGGAAUAGGAAUGUGUGCUGAAUACCUGAUUCCAGACCACGACACUGAUGCGCUUUGUGAAAAUCCAGACGUGGGGAUGAAGUUUCCUGAAGGGAUUAACACUACCUUACCUGUUUGAGUGCUGUGGUCAGUGGAAUUGCAGCGUGGACUCCAACAUCCUGUUGACUGUCCUGAAACAAGAUGGCUGCUCUAAGCUAUGCAGGUUCUUCUGUUUGUGGCUGAAGGAGCCGUGAUGCCAACUAGACUGGUCCUGAUGGUCCUGGUGGUGGUACCAGACUGGUCACUAGAAGAUGCCUGUUACUGAACUACCACAAGUUGAUGUCCUUGUGGGUCUGCAGUCUUCAGGAAGGUCCUAACUGUUCCAGCCUGGCCACUGGAGAACUGUUGCUGCACUACCUCAAGGUUUCUGCCCCCCUGGUUGAGGUCCUAGUGUCUGCCGUGUUUGGAAAGAGCUCGUUGGCUGCUGAAGUGUUGCUGUGCUGGUGGAGCGGGAAGCUCUCCUGUCCUACACUGACUAGCCCUCUUGUACUCCUGUUUGGUCAGCAAGGAAGUGAGACGUCUUGUUGGAACUGGGGAAAACCAGGCCAAGUCAUUUCAACCCAGUGACUGUUUUGAUGUAAAAAUAAAUCUACAAAUGAAUGCUUGUCCUAUUUUUCGUUCUUGGUGGUAUUAAAUCAGACUUGGUGAAUUUGGCCAUUUUGAAUGAACCAUGUGGUCUGAAAUCAAUACUGAACAAUGUGACAUUCCCUUCAUAUCAUUGUCGUUAUUCUAGGUGGUUAUAAACAUGCACAUGUUACUUUGUUCACUGGCUAUAGAAAGUUGACAGAAUUAUUUUAAGCCAUUGUGUUUUUGGGAGGAAUUUAUUGUGAGAUGCAUGUUUCGUCAUGGAGUCUAUUUUAACGAUACGGUGAGAAAAUUGUAUAGCUAAUAUAUGGAACAGGCUUGGUUUACACUGAUAUCAGAACCGCUAAAGAUGGUGGCUAAAUGAAGCGUAAAUUCCGGUAUAUUUAACGGAUGGUAUCAUGGACAUUAAUGUUCCAGUUUGUAGUCCCGAAAACCCCCCAAAUGAGUUACCUCUGGUUCUUUCAACCAUACCUACGGUGGUAUCAAUCGGGGUUUUUGACCAUGUGGCACCAUUAAUCCCAUCUGUUGGCCGUGAAGCACAGGGGUAGAGAAUUUGGGCUCACUACAAGGUACGAGCGUUUGCGCUUGAAGCCAGUUUCCCAGACACAGAUUGAGCCUUACCCGGGACUGCAUUUAUAUUAGAAUUUUGGUGAAUAACAGGAGAAAAAAGCCGUCCUGUACAGCUCAUAUUGCGUGCCGUUUAGUACUGGUCUGCGUCACACCAGUCAUAUGGCACCGAUCAUAUUUUCCUGCAAGCAUAAAUUGGUUUUCAGGAGAUUCUACAUUUUCUGAGAUCUGUUAACUUGACCAUUAUAGCAGGGACUUUUAAUUUCAGUACAAAUGCUUCAAUUGUGUGACCGUUAGCUGAUAUCAGAAAAAGGUUUACGCCUGAAUUUACCACAGAUCUUGUUUUCAGUGUUGAUGUCAAAACAUUUUCCCGAAGGAUUUGUCCAACGAACCGUGGCGGAGUUGGUGCCCAACAAGAUGCCAUUACUCACUGCUCUCUAUAGCAGCUGGGUCUGGUCUACCUAGUUAAUUGAAUGCAGCACAUUUUCCAGCGAGUGAUAGUCCCGCUUCCCAUCCGUCUCAAACCUCAUUGUGCCAUUUUUUAUGUAUUGUCUCCACCUUCUUGCCUUUUGUCCUGUCGUCUGUGGCCACUAAUGUUUGUACCAUGUUUUGUGCUUCUACCAUGUAUUGUUGCUACUAUGAUGUGUUGUGUUGCUGCCUUGCUAUGUUCUCUUAGCUCUCUCUUUAUGUACUGUAUUUAUUUUGAAUCCCAGGCUCCGUCCCCGCAGGACGACUUUUGGUAGCCAUCAUUGUAAAUAAGAAUUUGUUCUUUUGCCUAGUUAAAGGUUAAAUAAAAAAAUCUGCGCACCUUUUUUCUACAUCUAUCCUCUUCUAGUUAGUAGGAUAGAAUACCUGUAUGUCUCUAGUGGUGAACUGGGAUAGUGCAGCAGAACACCACUGGAUAGAAUACCUGUAUGUCUCUAGUGGUGAACUGGGAUAGUGCAGCAGAAUGCAACUGUCCUAUAAUCUUUGCCAUUAAGUGUUUUGGCAAAAUUUGAUCAGGAAUUAAGACUAUUAGUGUAAGCGACAAUGUAUGUUAAAAAUAAGAUUAUUGUUAUAAAAUGCCCUUUAUCACUCAGAUGGAUGGUAUUUUCUGUGGCAUUAAAAAGGUUUUAGUCUGACAUUGGACAUGAUGCCAAAUAACCUUUCACCUGACUGAUGCAGGCUUUCAUUAAAGGAAAAUUCCACCCAAAACGGUCUUUUGGUAUUUGCAAAAUGCAUCAUAUGGGGAUUUCUGUAUUUUGAAAGUUACAUAUCUUGAGAACUUGAUUAUUGACAAGCAAAACAUUUUGGGACUAUGUUACAAUGGACUAAUGAAACAAAUAACAAAAUAUGGUUUCUGGAUGGAGUUUUCCUUCAACUGGUUUCUAGAAUUCCCUGGAAAACUGUAUUUUAUGGUAUUAUUCUGUAGUGAUUAAAUUAAAACCUUUUCAAGACAUGAAGUCAAACCGUUACACACCAACACUAACCAUGGUGGGGUGACUGAAUUUAACAUAGUUAUACACCAACACUAACCAUGGUGGGGUAACUGAAUUUAAUAUACAGUUAUACACCAACACUAACCAGGGUGAGGUAACUGAAUUUAAUAUACAGUUAUACACCAACACUAAACAGGGUGGGGUAACUGAAUUUAAUAUACAGUUAUAUACCAAAACUAACCAUGGUGGGGUGACAAUUUAAUAUACAGUUAUACAACAACACUAACCAUGGUGGGGUGACUGAAUUUAAUAUACAGUUACACACCAACACUAACCAUGGUGGGGUGACUGAAUUGAACAGUUACACACCAAAACUAACCAUGGUGGGGUGACUGAAUUUAAUAUACAGUUAUACACCAACACUAACCAUGGUGGAGUGACUGAGUUUAAUAUACAGUUAUACACCAACACUAACCAUGGUGGGGUGACUGAAUUUAAUAUACAGUUACACACCAACACUAACCAUGGUGGGGUGACUGAAUUUAACAGUUACACACCAACACUAACCAUGGUGGGGUAACUGAAUUUAAUAUACAGUUAUACAACAACACUAACCAUGGUGGGGUGACUGAAUUUAGCAGUUACACACCAACAAUAACCAUGGUGGGGUGACUGAAUUUAAUAUACAUUUACACACCAACACUAACCAUGGUGGGAUUACUGAAUUUAACAGUUACACACCAACACUAACCAUGGUGGGAUUACUGAAUUUAACAGUUACACACCAACACUAACCAUGGUGCGAUUACUGAAUUUAACAGUUACACACCAACACUAACCAUGGUGGGGUGACUGAAUUUAACAGUUACACGCCAACACUAACCAUGGUGGGAUUACUGAAUUUAACAGUUACACACCAACACUAACCAUGGUGGGAUUACUGAAUUUAACAGUUACACACCAACACUAACCAUGGUGGGAUUACUGAAUUUAACAGUUACACACCAACACUAACCAUGGUGGGGUGACUGAAUUUAACAGUUACACACCAACACUAACCAUGGUGGAGUGUUCUUCCAGCUGAUCUUCUCUUGAGCUGGAGAUUGCCCAGCAUGCUCUGCUCCACUUCACCGGUGAGCGGAGCUACCACCUUUGAUAUUGAUUAACUACAAAUACUUCACGUCCUUUGUAUCAAUAUCUGCUGCAGCCGAGAGGUUUUUGGGGCUCCAAGACUUCACAGCAGAAGCACUACAAGACUUUUGUCACCAGGAAAUGUCCUGCCCUCACAGGAGGAUUCUGAGGCUGUGUUGGACCUGAUUAGAAUGAGGUUUUUACAGAAAAGCAGGUUGAUUUUGUUUAGUUCAUUUCUUUUUUGGUAGUUUGUGUGAUAUUUGAUUUAUUUUUACCCAUAUGUUAUUUUUGGGGAUCCUUAUUAUCCACCCACACAGUAGGUGGCGGAAUAGACAUUUAAUUGUUGUGGACGCCAUUAUACCAUAGAAGAAGAGAGACAGACAGACUGCGGUCGAGACACCCUCAGGCAGUGAUGCCAAGUUAGCAAUUUUGUUGCUAUAUUUAGCAAUUUUUUUUCCAAACAGCACCUAGCAACAAAUGUAGCUACUUUUAAAAAUGUAUUUGUAACUUGUGGCAACUUUUGAAAAAUGACUCAAACGCUAAAACGCACAUAUUUUCCCUCUAAAUGACACAAAACCGAUUUUCUCUGUCACAACACACGUGCCUGGCUGCAAAAGUGCAUUGUGAGUGACGUCAGCAGCAGGCCAGCAGCAAUUUCAGCAAAUUGCAAAUCAUUGUUGGCUGACUGCAGCAGCAGUAGUAUGUGUUCGACGAGAUCUUGAACAGAACUUACAACAUCAAUCAACAUGUCUCAAUCAAAAUUGUACAGCCAGAAGUACAGAAAAGAGUGGGAGUACCUGAAUUUAAAGGGUGGCUGAAGCCAGUAAUUGGGGAUGAUUGUUGGGCAUACUGUGCGUACUGCAAAUCAGAUAUGCUUGCAAAAUUGUAUGACAUCAAAAAAUAUUGUGCUACAGCAAAACAUAUAAAUAAAUCAAAACCGUACAACCCCACAACGCAGUCUACAUUACCACAGUUGGUUAAAAAAGUGGAUAACUGCAAAAGCUACUAUGGCAAUGGCCACUGCAGAGCAUUGUUCGCUGCUAGCAUGCGACCAUUUAGGUAUGGCUUGCAAAGUUGCCUUUUCAGAUUCUGUGGCAGCAACAAACUUCCAAAUGCACCGCACCAAGUGCACAGAAAUGAUUAGGGGAAUACUGGCUCCUUAUUUUCUCAAAAGAGUAACAUCAGAUGUGGGGGAUGAGAAGUUCAGUCUCCUUUUGGAUGAGUCCACUGAUGUCAGUGUCUCGAAAUACCUGGGUGUGGUGAUUCGGUAUUUCAGUGCUUAAAAAAGAACCGUUGUGUCCACAUUUCUCAGGCUGGUUGUCUGGGAGGGUGGCGAUGGCAGAUCAAUAGCAAAGGCGGUAGUUGAGUUUCUUGAGAAGUGCAACCUUAAAAAAGAGAAUCUUCACAGUAUUGGCACUAAUAAUGCGUCUGUGAUGACUGGGGUGCACAACGGGGUGCACAUGAUUUUAAAGGUAGAAUGUGCAUUGCCCAAUUUGGUACUCAUCCGUGAUGUGUGCCAUUCUUUACAAUUGGCUGUCUGUGCAGCAUCCAAAGAAACCAUCCCUAGGAGUGUUGAGUACUUAAUCAGGGAAACCUACAACUGGUUUUCCAUUUCCCCAAAACGGCGCAAGGCGUACAAAGCAGUGUAUGCCACCAUUAAUUGUGGCCAGAAACCCCUGCAGGUCACCAAAGUGUAUGCCACACGUUGGCUAUCGAUUGAGCCUGCAGUAACUCGUAUAUUGAGCCAGUGGGAAGAACUGAAACUCCACUUUGAGUUGACCAAGGCCAGUGAGCAUUGCUACAUGGUGGAUGUGCUCCACGCUAUGUACAUGGACAAGAACAACUAUGUCUACUUGACAUUCUUGAAAUCAAGUUGCAGUGAAGUAAUUUGAGGGAGAGCAAACAGAUCCUGUCAAGCUUUUGGACAAUCUGGUACACCUCUUAACAUCAAUUUGCAGCAGAGUAGUCAACCCUAUGGCAAAAAUGGAUGUCCUGAAUGAUGCCAUUGAAGGACAUCUCAGUCCAUCACCAUACCUUCGGUACCUUUUCGAGAGCACGGUGUACCAACUCAGUCUUGCGUCAGAGGACAAAAAGGUCAUUCGGUGACAGUGCAUCAACUACAUUGUUGCUCUAAGCAAGGAGCUGCAAGCAAGGCUCCCAGACAACCUUGAAGCCUUGCGAAACAACAUGGCCUUGUUCAGUGUUAAGGAAACGCUAAAGCACAAUAAAGGCACCACUGAAGUUAUUAAAGUAGCUGAGCUUCUGGUGUACCAACCACAAACAAUUGAUACAAUUGUUUCCCAAUGGAGAAACAUCCAUCUGUUUAGGUGGGACUCAACUGAAAACACAGUCGAGUUUUGGAGUGAACUCAAUAACUACACAGACUCUUCCGGGUCAAAUCCAUUUGAAGAACUGUGUAAAGCUGCACUCGCUGCCCUCUCCCUGCCACACUCAAAUGCGGAGGUUGAACGGCUGUUCAGCCAAAUGAGUGUGGUCAAGUCAAAGUUAAGAAAUAGAAUGUCACUGCACACUCUCAACUCCAUACUCCUGGUGCGGUAUGGACUGAAGCUGGCUGGUGAAACCUGUUACCAGCAUAAACUACCAAGUGAAGUUCUGCAGCAGUUUGGCACCACAGCAGCAUACAGCUUUAAGGCCACUCCAUCCUCUACUGCUGGUUCCAGCUCCGUGACAAUGCAGUUGGACAGUGAAGAGGAUUUCCUUGCCAAUCUAUGAUUCAUCAUAUUUACAGUACGUAUGCAAGGAGUGGGCUUUCUGGAACUGGCGGAGACACACAGCUGAUGGUGGCAGUGUGUACUGCAGUGGGUGCGAAAACAGUGGCAAUAUCUGAAGGAAACCAUCGAGCAGCUAGCUAGCUAGCCAAGCAGCACAACAACCUGGGGAGAGCUGGAGAGAGAUGCCUAGCACAUACAUCAUUAUUUGAGUUAAGUUGCUUAUUCAAUAAGAUAGCAUAUAUACCUUGUUAUUUGCCUGUACCUAUAAUUGUUGAUCAGUUAGGUAGCAUGUUAACUAACUACCAAUACACUGCUUAAAACUAGGAUUGUUCAGUGUAGGUUUACUAGUUAAAAAGAAAAUAAAUAAAAUGUAAUUGUUCAAUAAUGUGUAAUUGUUCAAUAAUUCAAUGUGUUGUGUUUAAAAAUGUGAUAAUAUAAAAUGUGUUGUGUUUAUAUUACUUUUACAAAUAAAAGUAUAUGAUAAUAAACAAACAAAUCUAAACUAACAAAUGUUAAAUCAUAUUUUUCGACAAGAUUAUUUUUAGAUGUUUUUCUUUAAUGUGAUAUAUAUAUAUUUUUUUCUCUUUUUUUAUUUUUAUUAACAGUAACAUGCAAAACAUAAACAUAACAGCCAGAGGGAUUCCACAAAGAAAUGAGAAAAAAAUAAAACUAAUCCACAUUAUAUCAAUUCAAAUACAGACAUAUAGCGAAUAAUUUUUUUUGACAUUUUGUUUUGUAUACGUUUCAAAGACUCAAAAUAGUUUUCCAAAUCAGAUCAAAAAAUUAAGAAAAGGGCUUUUUUCUUCAUACAUUUUGAUUUGUGUAUGAAAAAUGUUCCAAAUAAAAUAAAGAGAUUUAUGACAUAUUCACAUUCAAUUGUGGAAUCAGUGUAGUAAAAUAAUAUGUCAAACUUAGAUUUCAAUGGUUGUAUGCAAUUUGAGGCCAAGAUAUAGUUUUACAUCAGUCCAGAACACUUCACUAUAUAACAAUGACAGAAUAAGUGUUCAAUUAGAGUCUACGUAAUGACGCAGUUUUACGUUAUUAUGUAAUGACGGCAUCACGCAAUGACAUCACAACGUCAUUUAGCAACAAAUCAACUUCCUCUGGAAAUUAGUUGGCAACACUGAGCGGAAUGCGGCGAAAGCACCUACCGAUGCCGACGACUCGAAUGUGCUGCUCUGAAAUGCAGGACAGAUGCCAGGGAAGUCCAGAAGACUGACACGUCUGCAUUACUUGUGACAUGACUUCCUGACUUCAAGGCAUCUGAACAGAUUCUCCACUUGGAGUUCCAUUCUGGAAUAGGAAUGUGUGCUGAAUACCUGAUUCCAGACCACGAGACUGAUGCGCUUUGUGAAAAUCCAGACGUGGGGAUGAAGUUUCCUGAAGGGAUUAACACUACCUUACCUGUUUGAGUGCUGUGGUCAGUGGAAUUGCAGCGUGGACUCCAACAUACUGUUGACUGUCCUGAAACAAGAUGGCUGUUCUGAGCUGCUCUAAGCUAUGCAGGUUCUUCUGUUUGUGGCUGAACAAGGAGCCGUGAUGCCAACUAGACUGGUCCUGAUGGUCCUGGUGGUGGUACCAGACUGGUCACUAGAAGAUGCCUGUUACUGAACUACCACAAGUUGAUGUCCUUGUGGGUCUGCAGUCUUCAGGAAGGUCCUAACUGUUCCAGCCUGGCCACUGGAGAACUGUUGCUGCACUACCUCAAGGUUUCUGCCCCCCUGGUUGAGGUCCUAGUGUCUGCUGUGUUUGUAAAGAGCUCGUUGGCUGCUGAAGUGUUGCUGUGCUGGUGGAGCGGGAAGCUCUCCUGUCCUACACUGACAAGCCCUCUUGCACUCCUGUUUGGUCAGCAAGGAAGUGGGACGUCUCGUUGGAACUGGGGAAAACCAGGCCAAGUCAAUUCAACCCUGUGACUGUUUUGAUGUAUAAAUAAAUCUACAAAUUAA